AGAAGCAGAGGGGGCUUAGUGGUGGGGUGACUGCGUACCUUUUGUAUAAUGGGUCAGCGACUUAUAUUCUGUAGCAAGGUUAACCGUAUAGGGGAGCCGGAGGGAAACCGAGUCUUAAUUGGGCGUUAAGUUGCAGGGUAUAGACCCGAAACCCGGUGAUCUAGCCAUGGGCAGGUUGAAGGUUGGGUAACACUAACUGGAGGACCGAACCGACUAAUGUUGAAAAAUUAGCGGAUGACCUGUGGCUGGGGGUGAAAGGCCAAUCAAACCGGGAGAUAGCUGGUUCUCCCCGAAAGCUAUUUAGGUAGCGCCUCGUGAAUUCAUCUCCGGGGGUAGAGCACUGUUUCGGCUAGGGGGCCAUCCCGGCUUACCAACCCGAUGCAAACUGCGAAUACCGGAGAAUGUUAUCACGGGAGACACACGGCGGGUGCUAACGUCCGUCGUGAAGAGGGAAACAACCCAGACCGCCAGCUAAGGUCCCAAAGUCAUGGUUAAGUGGGAAACGAUGUGGGAAGGCCCAGACAGCCAGGAUGUUGGCUUAGAAGCAGCCAUCAUUUAAAGAAAGCGUAAUAGCUCACUGGUCGAGUCGGCCUGCGCGGAAGAUGUAACGGGGCUAAACCAUGCACCGAAGCUGCGGCAGCGACACUCAGGUGUUGUUGGGUAGGGGAGCGUUCUGUAAGCCUG
rnacentral:rRNA from 1 species